rnacentral:rRNA from 1 species
CCGGAGUAACUGCCGGUACCUUGACGGUACCUAACCAGAAAGCCUUUGCUAACUACGUGCCACCCGCCGCGGUAAUACGUAGGUGGCAAGCGUUGUCCGGAAUUAUUGGGCGUAAAGCGCGCGCAGGUGGUCUCUUAAGUCUGAUGUGAAAGCCCCCGGCUCAACCGGGGAGGGUCAUUGGAAACUGGGAGACUUGGGUGCAGGAGAGAAGAGUGGAAUUCCACGUGUAGCGGUGAAAUGCGUAGAGAUGUGGAGGAACACCAGUGGCGAAGGCGACUCUUUGGCCUGUAACUGACACUGAGGCGCGAAAGCGUGGGGAGCAAACAGGAUUAGAUACCCUGGUAGCCCACGCCGUAAACGAUGAGUGCU